GGGGUGACCCCACUCCUGUCACCCACUGAGGGGUGAUCCCACUCCUGUCACCCACUGAGGGAUGAUCCCACUCCUGUCACCCACUGAGGGGUGACCCCACUCCUGUCACCCACUGAGGGGUGAUCCCACUCCUGUCACCCACUGAGGGAUGAUCCCAGUCCCAGCAAGCCUCUGCCAUCUCUCCUUACCGAAAUCCCCAAAUCCCAGCCCCAAAUCUUAGCCCUCAACCUCCGCCCGGGGACUGCCACGUCCGGGGACCGUCCCCUGACCCCGCUGCGCUCUCCCGCUGCCCGCGCAGACCCCGACAGGACCAGUGCCCAUCCCUGCCCCAUGCAGGGGGCUGUCCCUGUCCCAUGCAGGGGACUGUCCCCCAUCUCUGUCCCAGUGCCGGGCACCGUGUCCCCUCUCUCUGUCCCAAGACCGGGGGCUGUCCCCUCUUUGUCCCCCGUCCGGGGACCGUCCCCUGACCCCUCUGCGCUCUCCCGCUGCCCGCGCAGAUCCCGACAGGACGAGUGCCCAUCCCUGUCCCACGAUCGGGGACAGUCCCCCCUCUCUGCCCCAUGGCAGGGGACUGUCAGGGGACUGUAUCCCAGCCCCAAAUCUUAGCCCUCAACCUCCGCCCGGGGACUGCCACGUCCGGGGACCGUCCCCUGACCCCGCUCUGCUCUCCCGCUGCCCGCGCAGAUCCCGACAGGACGAGCUCGCACAUGAUCUCCGCGGACGAUGCCGAGUACCCGCGGGAGUACCGCACCCUGGGCAACGGCACCCGGCGCUUCUCCAACGUGGGGCUGGUGCACACCUCGGAGCGCCGGCACACCGUGAUCGCCGCCCAGAGCCUGGAGGCGCUCACCGGCCUCCAGAAGACGGAGAUGGAGCGCAAGAGGGACGCGUUCAUGGAUCACCUCAAGAGCAAAUACCCGCAGCACGCCCUGGCGCUGCGCGGGCAGCAGGAGCGCCUGCGGGACCAGGCGCUGCGGAUUCGCCUGGCACCGGGAGAGGAGGCGGCUGGAGCCGGGGCCAGCACGGCCGGGCUGGUGGCCAGCGGGGCUCUGGUGUCACCUGCGCUGUCCCCAGGGACCCAUCAUUAGCGCUGAUGGCUUUGGAGAGGAGGAGGAGGAUGAGGAGGGGCCUGGAGGGGAAAAGUUGGAGCCGCGUGGUUGUGCUGGGGGGUCUGGAGGAGAAGCCUGACGUUGAGCGGCCGUGACAGGCGGCUGUGGCAUCUCUGAUGUCACCUCAGAGCCCUCUGAGGGUGGAGGGGCAGCAGUGCCCAAAAGAGGAGCAGCAAAACCUCGUGGAGGGCUCUGGGUGUGAUGAAAAUGAGCCCCAGCCCCCCCGCAGCCCAUCCUGUCCCCGCUGUCCCCUCCCCUGGUCACGUUUGGGAGGUGCCUCCAAUAACUGCGAGACCUCAGGUGACAAAAAUCCGCAGGCGCCGGCGUCUGGUCACUGUUUGCAUUCUUCUCCCUGUCUUGUCACGCUGCUAUCUCCACUUU
rnacentral:lncRNA from 12 species